AUGAACGCUGGCGGCGUGCCUCAUACAUGCAAGUCGAGCGAACAGAUGAGGAGCUUGCUCCUCUGACGUUAGCGGCGGACGGGUGAGUAACACGUGGCUAACCUACCUAUAAGUCUGGGAUAACUUCGGGAAACCGGAGCUAAUACCGGAUAAUAUAUUGAACCGCAUGGUUCAAUAGUGAAAGACGGUUUUGCUGUCACUUAUAGAUGGAUCCGCGCCGCAUUAGCUAGUUGGUAAGGUAACGGCUUACCAAGGCAACGAUGCGUAGCCGACCUGAGAGGGUGAUCGGCCACACUGGAACUGAGACACGGUCCAGACUCCUACGGGAGGCAGCAGUAGGGAAUCUUCCGCAAUGGGCGAAAGCCUGACGGAGCAACGCCGCGUGAGUGAUGAAGGUCUUCGGAUCGUAAAACUCUGUUAUUAGGGAAGAACAAAUGUGUAAGUAACUAUGCACGUCUUGACGGUACCUAAUCAGAAAGCCACGGCUAACUACGUG
rnacentral:rRNA from 1 species